CCCUUAGAUGUUCUGGGCCGCACGCGCGCUACACUGACGAAUGCAACGAGCUUAUAACCUUGGCCGAAAGGUCUGGGUAAUCUCCAAAUUUCGUCGUGAUGGGGAUAGAUUAUUGCAAUUAUUAAUCUUCAACGAGGAAUGCCUAGUAAGCGCAAGUCAUCAGCUUGCGUUGAUUACGUCCCUGCCCUUUGUACACACCGCCCGUCGCUCCUACCGAUUGAGUGGUUCGGUGAACUCUUCUGACUGCGCGGCACUAGCUUGUGCGGAAAGUUGAAUAAAUCAUAUCACUUAGAGGAAGGAAAAGUCGUAACA
rnacentral:rRNA from 1 species